rnacentral:lncRNA from 1 species
GGCAACUAGAAAUGGCCACGGAUGUUAACUAACUCCCUCCUCAACAGUCUGAGAAAAGGGAAAAAAAAACUCUCUGACUUCUGGUUGUUCUGGUCUCAGAAAAACGGACUUCGAGCUAGUGACCCCGAUAUUCCAAUCUUAUUUCUAAUGAGGAUUACUGACAGAAACUCAUCCUCUACGACUGAAAGAAGGAGCUGGAGCUGGCCUUGUCUCCGUUUCAAAAAUAACUCAAUUAUAUCAUUAAAUAG